UAGGGAAUCUUCGGCAAUGGACGAAAGUCUGACCGAGCAACGCCGCGUGAGUGAAGAAGGUUUUCGGAUCGUAAAACUCUGUUGUUAGAGAAGAACAAGGACGUUAGUAACUGAACGUCCCCUGACGGUAUCUAACCAGAAAGCCACGGCUAACUACGUGCCAGCAGCCGCGGUAAUACGUAGGUGGCAAGCGUUGUCCGGAUUUAUUGGGCGUAAAGCGAGCGCAGGCGGUUUCUUAAGUCUGAUGUGAAAGCCCCCGGCUCAACCGGGGAGGGUCAUUGGAAACUGGGAGACUUGAGUGCAGAAGAGGAGAGUGGAAUUCCAUGUGUAGCGGUGAAAUGCGUAGAUAUAUGGAGGAACACCAUUGGCGAAGGCGGCUCUCUGGUCUGUAACUGACGCUGAGGCUCGAAAGCGUGGGGAGCAAACAGG
rnacentral:rRNA from 1 species